rnacentral:rRNA from 1 species
CGGCGCACGGGUGCGUAACGCGUAUGCAACCUACCUCUAACAGGGGGAUAGCUCCGAGAAAUCGGGAUUAAUACCUCAUAUGAUCUUGAUAACGCAUGUUAUCGAGACGAAAGUUCCGGCAGUUAGAGAUGGGCAUGCGUGCCAUUAGCUAGUUGGUGAGGUAACGGCUCACCAAGGCAACGAUGGCUAGGGGUUCUGAGAGGAUUAUCCCCCACACUGGUACUGAGACACGGACCAGACUCCUACGGGAGGCAGCAGUAAGGAAUAUUGGUCAAUGGACGCAAGUCUGAACCAGCCAUGCCGCGUGCAGGAAGACGGCCUUAUGGGUUGUAAACUGCUUUUGUCAGGGAAUAAACCCUCGUUCGUGAACGAGGCUGAAGGUACCUGAAGAAUAAGCAUCGGCUAACUCCGUGCCAGCAGCCGCGGUAAUACGGAGGAUGCGAGCGUUAUCCGGAUUCAUUGGGUUUAAAGGGUGCGCAGGCGGAUUAAUAAGUCAGUGGUGAAAUCCUACGGCUCAACCGUGGCACUGCCAUUGAUACUGUUAGUCUUGAGUAUAGUUGAAGUGGGCGGAAUGUAGCAUGUAGCGGUGAAAUGCAUAGAUAUGCUACAGAACACCAAUAGCGAAGGCAGCUCACUAAGUUAUAACUGACGCUCAUGCACGAAAGCGUGGGGAUCAAACAGGAUUAGAUACCCUGGUAGUCCACGCUGUAAACGAUGAUCACUCGUUGUUGGCGAUACACAGUCAGCGACUAAGCGAAAGUGAUAAGUGAUCCACCUGGGGAGUACGGUCGCAAGAUUGAAACUCAAAGGAAUUGACGGGGGCCCGCACAAGCGGUGGAGCAUGUGGUUUAAUUCG